GAUGAACGCUGGCGGCGUGCUUAACACAUGCAAGUCGAACGCGUGGCGAACGGGUGAGUACUACGUGGGCACCUGCCCUCCCUUAUGGGAUAAGCUUCGGAUACGGGGCCUAAUACCGAAUAUGUAGGGGGUCGGGCUGGCGUCAUCGGCUUGUUGGUGUGGUGAUGGCCUACCAAGGCGGUGACGGGUAGCCGGCCUGAGAGGAUGACCAGCCACACUGGAACUGAGACACGGUCCAGACUCCUACGGGAGGCAGCAGUGGGGAAUAUUGCACAAUGGGCGCAAGCCUGAUGCAGCCAUGCCGCGUGUAUGAAGAAGGCGUUCGGGUUGUGAAGUACUUUCAGCGGGGAGGCGUUGCCCGCAGAAGAAGCACCGGCUAACUCCGUGCCAGCCGCCGCGGUAAUAC
rnacentral:rRNA from 1 species